rnacentral:lncRNA from 1 species
GUAAAUUCAAUAGUCGGACGAAACUAUGGCUGCUUAUCUCCACGAAUCCACAAACCUAGAGCCCUUAGAAGAGGAGCAUCACUUCUAGUCCCAUACCAUCCAUACCUAAUAGUCCCACCCUUUGGUUGGUCUCUGCCUAACAUGCAAGGCCUUCCAUUUCAUGAUGUUGGCGUCUUUGUCACUGUUGCUCUCCUUCCUCUCCUCCUUCAGGAUCGGUAGCAUUUUUGUUCUCAUGCCGGCGAUCUACGUGGUGGCCAUCUUUGCUCAUGGAACAAUUUGACGUGGAUACUUCGUGUAAAUCUUCCAGCCUUCAAGAGCGGCAAAAAUUCUUGCUAUUCGGGCAAAGAACGAGGAAGAGGGUCUCCAAUGGCGAUUGCUGGAGUAAUGGGAGUGAGGACUCGUUGGGCUUCCAAAUAAAGACGUGGGUGGACUGCUACAACUCCUUACGUACGAAAAAAAAAAAAAUAAACAAGGAGAGUGAAGAUAGAAUACAGGAAAGAAGAAGCGCUAGAGCUUUAUCCACGUACUUUUUUGAUGUAGGAACCUAGAUUCAAAAAUUGUUGUCCCAAAUUUAGAGCGCGUGGGUGUUAUUCUAUCUAUUGUUAGCAUGAAAUUUCUUCUGAAGUAUUUGUAAAUUCCAACUCCAAAAAAUUCAUGCCUUGUUUUAGUUAGC